GGCUUUGCUGCCGCACGUCUCCUUCCAGGUCUUUCCUCGAGGACAGGGAGAGAAUUAGGAUUCACGUCUGUGAGCGUGAGGAGGAGCCUCUGUGGAGUUUUCUCCUUUCCUACCACUGAUUGUGCCAGAAAACGAAUUUUCCUUUGACAAGAUUUUUUUUUUCCACUAUCAUAAGUUCAUCACUUCACCACGUAACUGUCCGGAGCCUGGCUCGGAGCUGGAGGCAGGAGAAGAGAGACAAGAGUGAGAUUUCAGCAUCUUCAGCAUCAUUAUUCAUACUAGCCUGGCUUGACCUUCUCUGCCAGAAGAGAGGCAGACAGACUAGGAUCAGGACCACCAGCUGUGCCCCCAAAAGACUGGGCUCUGGGCCAAACCUCCAAAUAUAUGAGACCCACAUCCUUCCCCAGAACAACCCCCCAAACUGGACCAGACCCUCAUCCCUCCCCAGAAUGACCAUCCAUGACCUGGACAGCGCACCCAGCUCAGCCAGGAGGGAGAACUCUUGAAACUUUCUUUGGGUUUUCAUCUACCUGUUCUUCUACUUAAUUGUUGGGGGCUCAAAAUAUCUCACCAUGGGAAGUGAAGACGCAGGCACUGGAUUCUACCUCUCAGCAGCCAACAUCACACACCCAGACUGUUGCCUAUGGUAUUGUGGCAUGCUAGAAGUGCCAUUUCCAAGUGGUUCAAAUUUACAGCUAGAUUUGGCUGUUGGUUUCUGGCCCAAAAUUCUGAGGCCUGACAAUUUCAGCAAUGGCCAAAUGUGGCUUGUUGCUGUAAGGGUCCAAUUCUCACUUCGGGUGCCAGAGGGCCUGGCUGUAGCUCCCAGACAAGCCCUCCCUCAGGGUGUGUUUGCUGCUGUACCUUCUCAUUUCCAGGCUCCUUCUGCUUCGGUGUGUGGCUGGUCAUUUGUCUUUGGAAACUCCUGUGGAAUGCGGCUUUCCUUAGAGUUCCCAAAGGAUUUGUUGGACUUGGGCGUGUGUCUCCUUUAGGAUGCAAGAGAUCCCGCCUUCAAAUUUUGACCAAGUCCUUGCUAAGGCUCCGUUUGCAGCUGACUUUGGAGGUUUUUUUCACCUGUGUUUUUCUCCAACAUCCUGCAGAGGAAGAGCUGCAUUAGGGUCUGAAUGUGGUUUGUUGGUCCAAGUGUAGGAUUCUCACUCUGGGCGGGAGAGAGUGUGGAGAAGACCUUGGAAAGGUGAAGUCAGGGGCAGUACUUUUUCAGGUGCCUGUUUUUGUGGGAGUUUGUUUAAUUUUGUUUUUUGCUGAAAUUGAGAGAAAUGUUGUUCGCUUUUCAGCCUGAACGCUUGUUCUGUCCAGCAGCCCAAAGUGCAAGCCUUGUUUCACCUGUUUAAUGUUGGACAGUGACAGAGUCACAUUAGCACCUUUGACUCUUUUGGAGCCCCUUGAUUCUAUUUAAAUUACCACAAAAGUUCCCACCCCCCUGUGUGAGUAGCAUGUGGCACUGAGCAUCUUUUUUCCUUUCUCCCCUCUAGGAUGUCAGAAGCACCAUAGACAGGUGCAUGGCUCCUUCCCCUUCACAUGUCAUUAUUCUGGGUACAGGCUGAGACAAAACAACUAUCCCAGGGCACAACUGCAAAGUGGUGAAGGUGACUCAUGGGGUCAGAAUCUCCUUUGGUUUAUUACAAACCUGGGGUUCCUACAUUUCCUACAAAAUGAAAACUAUUUUCUAAAUCGCUUCUCUGCUAAGGCUGCAUCAACACUCCCCCUUGUGUCGGUAGAACGUGUGUCGCUUAGGGGUGUGAAUAAGCCACCCCCCCCGAGUGACACAAGUUACAGCGACCUAAGUGCCGGUGUGGACAGUGCUAUGUCGCUGGGAGAGUUUCUCCUGCCAACCUGGCUACGGCUGCUCACU